CAGUAGCCACGGGAAUACGUAGGUGGCAAGCGUUGUCCGGAAUUAUUGGGCGUAAAGGGCUCGCAGGCGGUUUCUUAAGUCUGAUGUGAAAGCCCCCGGCUCAACCGGGGAGGGUCAUUGGAAACUGGGAAACUUGAGUGCAGAAGAGGAGAGUGGAAUUCCACGUGUAGCGGUGAAAUGCGUAGAGAUGUGGAGGGACACCAGUGGCGAAGGCGACUCUCUGGUCUGUAACUGACGCUGAGGAGCGAAAGCGUGGGGAGCGAACAGGAUUAGAUACCCCUGUAGUCCCUGUCUCUUAUAC
rnacentral:rRNA from 1 species